UACGUAGGGUCCGAGCGUUGUUCGGAAUUACUGGGCGUAAAGCGCACGUAGGCGGCUUUUUAAGUCAGGGGUGAAAUCCCGGGGCUCAACCCCGGAACUGCCCUUGAAACUGGAGAGCUAGAAUCUUGGAGAGGCGAGUGGAAUUCCGAGUGUAGAGGUGAAAUUCGUAGAUAUUCGGAAGAACACCAGUGGCGAAGGCGACUCGCUGGACAAGUAUUGACGCUGAGGUGCGAAAGCGUGGGGAGCAAACAGG
rnacentral:rRNA from 1 species